AACAGGGAGGACUUCCUGGAGGAAGGGGGAUGAACAGGAGUUAGUUAGCAGGCUCCAGGGCCCCCGAGCACCUACGAUGUGCUGGGUCCUGCGCUCUUUCUGUCCUGGAAGGCAGCAGUGGGCAGCUGGAGAGGGAGCGAGCCCUCCUGGUGCACAACUUUAGACCUAACAACAGCCUUCCGGUGCAGGCGAUGUCAACCCAUUUCACAGAGGUGGAAACUGAGGUCUGGAGAGUUCUGGAGGUCGGAAGUCAAAAACGGGCGUCACGUGGCUAAAACCCAAGUGUCAGCAGGGCCGCGUUCCGUCUGGAGCCUGUUCCUUGCCUUCUCCAGCCUCCAGAUGCCACCCACGUUCCUCGGUUCUGACCCUCGUCACAUCUCCUUCUCUGACUCGGACCCUCCUGCUUCUCUCUUAUAAGGACCCUGUUGGUGACACUGACCCUAUGGGAUAACCCGGGCUAAUCGCCCCGUCCUAAGACCCUUAACUUUAUCCCGUCCGCCAAGUCCCUUUUGCCACGUAUGGUCACGUGUUCGCGGGUUCUGGGGGUUGGAACGUGGACAUGUUUGGGGACCGUCAUUCCAUCUACCACGAACCCAGAACCCAGCUCCCACCUAGUCGUUCUGGCUUUGCCUGAGGGCACCGCGAGCAGCAGGACCAGGAAUGGGCAGAGGCGAUCUAGCGAGGUGGUGGGAGAGGGGCAGCCUGGGUCUCUCCGAGGUAAGCCUGGGGCCUUCGUGUGAGAAGGCCCCUGGGGGAGAGGGCAGGCCCAGGGAUGAAUGAGGCGGGCCAGGAGGGGACAAGGGGGUGCAGAACACUACUCCAGCUGAGCGGGGCCAGAGGAGAAGUAGGCCCAGGCGGCCAGAGCUGCUGACUUCCCAAAAGAAACUGGAAAUCCCGGUUUUUAUGUGACAUCUCCAAUUUUGAAGUGUCGGCAAAGGCAAAAAAAAUUAUGAGGGAACCACCCCCGCCGACACAUGCCUACACACACACUGCGUGGGUCACACGGAACACAUCUGGGGCCAGGUGAGGCCCAGGGGCUGUGAACUCCUGGGCACAGGCCCACCGGGGACGGAGGGGGAGGGCAUGUCCUCGCUGAGGGCAGUGGGUGCCGGAACGUUCCCUGGCCAGCUCUGUCCCCAGCGGGGGACGCCUGGACACAGGGUACUCGGGACAGGAACGGCGGGCUUCAGCAACGUCCGGGGGUGGGGCAGGGCCAGACUGACGCCAGGUCAGUUGAACUCCACUUCCGGCUGUGACUCCAUGCGGUCAGGCGGGCCGUGUAGCCUUGGACCGGCUACCCAGCCUGUCGGGUGCUCCACGGGGCGUCCAGAGUCACCCGUUCCAGCAUGUGCUGCUGCUUUUCUGGCCCUGGGGACUCAGAGCCACACAAAACAGAGCGGGCGCCUGCCUCCAGUGACCACGGAUGGGCCACUGAUACGGAAUUGGACUUGGGGCUUACUGAGUAGGAACUCCGAAGUGCUCAGCUUCUCCUCCACGGACCCGCUUUCCCCGCCUCAUCCUUAAUAAAAGGGUAAUGAACGAAUGACUUCCGCUCAUUAUCACUGAGCAUCAGCUGAGGGUCACAUACCCUAUCCUCCGAACCUAUGAGGCUGGUGUUACUAUGGCCCCAUUUUACAGGUGGAGAAACUGUGGCCAGGACACCCAGGUCCCAUUAGGACCUCCUUGGGAAGGAGCCGCUGCCCCCGAAACCGUUCUCUCGGCCCCUCUGCCUUAGUUCUCAGCUACUCAUCAGCCAGGGAACCUCUUAGGGUCACUGGUCGGGACAACUUUGGGGGUAACAUGGAGGGCGCCCUCUGUUUGUCCACUACACCUUGUUCUGAAUUUGCCUCUUCCCAACUUCAAACAGGCGCCAGUUCUCGACCUUGCGGACCGAAGGCCCUUGGUGCCUUUAGAGACUUCAAACAAC